rnacentral:rRNA from 1 species
UACAGAGGUCUCAAGCGUUGUUUCGGAUUCAUUUGGGCGUAAAGGGUGCGUAGGUGGCGUCGUAAGUCGGGUGUGAAAUUUCGGAGCUUUAACUCCGAAACUGCAUUUCGAUACUGCGGUGCUUGAGGACUGGAGAGGAGACUGGAAUUUACGGUGUAGCGGUGAAAUGCGUAGAUAUCGUAAGGAAGACCGUGGCGAAGGCGGGUCU